GGGCCUAUAGCUCAGCUGGUUAGAGCACACGCCUGAUAAGCGUGAGGUCGGUGGUUCAAGUCCAUUUAGGC
rnacentral:tRNA from 1 species